CCUACGGGAGACAGCAGUGAGGAAUAUUGGUCAAUGGACGAGAGUCUGAACCAGCCAAGUAGCGUGAAGGAUGACUGCCCUAUGGGUUGUAAACUUCUUUUAUAAAGGAAUAAAACGAGGCACGUGUGCCUUUUUGCAUGUACUUUAUGAAUAAGGAUCGGCUAACUCCGUGCCAGCAGCCGCGGUAAUACGGAGGAUCCGAGCGUUAUCCGGAUUUAUUGGGUUUAAAGGGAGCGUAGAUGGGUUGUUAAGUCAGUUGUGAAAGUUUGCGGCUCAACCGUAAAAUUGCAAUUGAUACUGGCAGUCUUGAGUACAGUAGAGGUAGGCGGAAUUCGUGGUGUAGCGGUGAAAUGCGUAGAUAUCACGAAGAACCCCGAUUGCGAAGGCAGCUUACUAAACUGUGACUGACAUUGAUGCUCGAAAGUGUGGGUAGCAAACAGGAUUAGAUACCCUAGUAGUC
rnacentral:rRNA from 1 species